UCUACUUUCCUCCAUGAAAUGCAAAGGUGUUUCCUGUUCAGCUUGAGCAGACUCUUGUUCACUUGCUCUUGUUCACUUGUUCAGAGAAGGUCUUAGGAACACAUGAAGAAUUUGAAGAUCGCUGGCAGUGAUGGUGACAGUACAGAUACACCGUGAGGAAUGCAGUGAGCUUGAAUUUAAUCCUUCUGAAAUCCAUGAAGUGCAAAAAUUUUAAUUUUUGAGCAACAGAGCAAUAAGCAGAGUUCUUUUGGAGCUCCUUUAUGACUCUGGAGGGAAGAAUGAGAAGAAUACAUUUUGGCACUUCACUGUACAUGCAGUCAUCAACAAGGCCCAGACAUAAACUCUUUUUUUUCCCAAAUAAAUAGA